rnacentral:snRNA from 1 species
AUACUUACCUGGCAAGGGAGAUACCAUGAUCAAGAAGGUGGUUCACCCAUGGCGAGGCUCAGCCAUUGCACUGAGGCUGUUGCUGACCCGUGCGAAUUCCCCAAAUGUGGGAAUCUCGAUUGCAUAAUUUCUGGUAGUGGGGGACUGCGUUCGCGCUCUCCCCUG